CCUACGGGAGGCAGCAGUGAGGAAUAUUGGUCAAUGGGCGCGAGCCUGAACCAGCCAAGUAGCGUGAAGGAUGACUGCCCUAUGGGUUGUAAACUUCUUUUAUAAAGGAAUAAAGUGAUGCACGUGUGCUUUUUUGUAUGUACCUUAUGAAUAAGGAUCGGCUAACUCCGUGCCAGCAGCCGCGGUAAUACGGAGGAUCCGAGCGUUAUCCGGAUUUAUUGGGUUUAAAGGGAGCGUAGAUGGGUUGUUAAGUCAGUUGUGAAAGUUUGCGGCUCAACCGUAAAAUUGCAAUUGAUACUGGCAGUCUUGAGUACAGUAGAGGUAGGCGGAAUUCGUGGUGUAGCGGUGAAAUGCGUAGAUAUCACGAAGAACUCCGAUUGCGAAGGCAGUUUACUAAACUGCCACUGACACUGAUGCUCGAAAGUGUGGGGAUCAAACAGGAUUAGAUACCCCGGUAGUC
rnacentral:rRNA from 1 species